UGCAUCCCUGGUACCUAUACGGAUCCGACGCCCUCGCAGGCAAGGCAAGACGUACCCUACUCGUACUCAAAACGUCCCCGACGUACAGCACGGUAACAUGUCUUACCGCAUAACUGAGCUUGGGUAUACGGGGAAAUACAAGCCCUUGGGGCGAUAGAAGACAUGGCUAAGGGGG
rnacentral:ribozyme from 1 species